rnacentral:rRNA from 1 species
GUGAACCAGUACCGUGAGGGAAAGGCGAAAAGAACCCCGGCGAGGGGAGUGAAAAAGAACCUGAAACCGUGUACGUACAAGCAGUGGGAGCACAGAGCAAUCUGUGUGACUGCGUACCUUUUGUAUAAUGGGUCAGCGACUUAUAUUCUGUAGCAAGGUUAACCGAAUAGGGGAGCCGAAGGGAAACCGAGUCUUAACUGGGCGUUAAGUUGCAGGGUAUAGACCCGAAACCCGGUGAUCUAGCCAUGGGCAGGUUGAAGGUUGGGUAACACUAACUGGAGGACCGAACCGACUAAUGUUGAAAAAUUAGCGGAUGACUUGUGGCUGGGGGUGAAAGGCCAAUCAAACCGGGAGAUAGCUGGUUCUCCCCGAAAGCUAUUUAGGUAGCGCCUCGUGAAUUCAUCUCCGGGGGUAGAGCACUGUUUCGGCAAGGGGGUCAUCCCGACUUACCAACCCGAUGCAAACUGCGAAUACCGGAGAAUGUUAUCACGGGAGACACACGGCGGGUGCUAACGUCCGUCGUGAAGAGGGAAACAACCCAGACCGCCAGCUAAGGUCCCAAAGUCAUGGUUAAGUGGGAAACGAUGUGGGAAGGCCCAGACAGCCAGGAUGUUGGCUUAGAAGCAGCCAUCAUUUAAAGAAAGCGUAAUAGCUCACUGGUCGAGUCGGCCUGCGCGGAAGAUGUAACGGGGCUAAACCAUGCACCGAAGCUGCGGCAGCGACGCUGAUGCGUUGUUGGGUA